AUCCAAAGAAAAACACAACCUCUCAUGGUUUCUUCUGUUGGUUGUCAUUGGAUGAGUCCAUCUCUAAUGGUUGUCUCCAUGUUGACCAAGGUGCAGCAAGCUUCUCAACCCAACUGUAGGAAGCCACCCUCACUUAUGUGGUAAAGAGGCCUAAUGCAUUGGCUGUCUAGGCUCAUGGCAAGUUUUGGUGGAGCGCCUUCUCAUGAGCAACACACAUAAGUGUGCUGUCUACCAAACUUUUCUAUUAGAACCUAAGCAAGCCACUGAACACAGGAUCAGUAGAUGAAUGUAUGCAAUACUAAUUCCUACGAAGACCUUGGUCAUCUCGUGUGUUUGAUUCAGUGGCCCUGUGGCAUUAAGUGUUAGCACCUGAUCCAGACUGAAUUCCUUUAUAAUACUCUUGUCAUUAGGAUAUACUUUGCAUAACUACUUUCCUGUCCUUUCUGUCUUUUCACUUAUUUUGUGAUCUUGAUCUCCAGAAGAAAGAUAGGAUUCAUAGUUGAACCAGUUAAGAUCAUUGCUUGAGUGGUUUAUUUUAAACCAUAAAGCUACAGUUGAGAAGUAUGUAGCUGUAGCCUUUUGAUAAGAAUGCAUUAAAUAUAGCAUCACACAUGAGUACCACAAAUGAGGUUAGUAGACUAGCUAUGCAGUGGCCCACAUUCAGUGUAAUGUUUUAGUGUCAUUUAGUGCCUCUUAAGUUGCUGUUAUCUGUUGGUCAGUUGCUGUAGUAGGAAAUAAUACUUUUUUAACAAAUGACCCUACCUUUGCUAGUGCUAGGAUAUUUGUAAAAGCCUAAGGGCUUCUUAAAUAUAACAUUUUGGUCUAUUUGGUCUAACCUUAGAAAGAUUAGUAGUUUAUAAUAAAAUAUGUUUGUUCCUAUCAAAACUAGAAUGAACUGGGUUUUCUCCCAAGGACUAAUGAUUCCACUUUGGAUAGAUGAAUUGAUAUUUUCAGUGCAUUCAAAAAUUGUUACUCCCGAGAAAAGCGCCCAUUACCACAGGAAAAUGAACUCUUUGGAACUAGCCCGGUAAAUAUCUCCUUUCGUCAUUGUUUUUGAGGCUAAAAUUGAUGGGUGCAUUGUUUAUGCAUUUUAACUGGCCAUCUUAUUUAUAUUUCAGAUUUGAUAAUCUAGGCUGCUAAGUGAUCUCAUCCAUUUUUUAAAAAAACUAGUAGAGUCCAGUGUUUUCUCAGCUAGUCCCCAAGGAAGUUUCUGCUGCAGCGUGGUCCUUUCUUCAAGGUGUGUGGGAUUCAAGGUGGAAAAGAGUAUAGCUGGUAAUGGUGCCUUGGUCAUUCUGCUCAGGGACCUGCCUGUUCCUGCCUUCCUCUCUUCCCUUCCACAGACUAUCUCAGAGAUUUAACUGUGAACUUAUCCUUGCCUAACUCUUGAGGAUUUCCAAGCUUUGGUUGGGGGAUGGAACAGACAGGAAAACGGUUGUUCCUUGGUUUAAAUUUUGUCAUUGAUUUACUAAUAACUUUUAGCACUUGUUUGGAUCUUCUUAGAUCUGGAUGCUUACUUUCUUUUUUAGUGCCUUACAUACAAUGCUAAAAACUAGGGAUACUGAAAGGGAAAUGGGUUGCAGCAUUCUUGAAUAUAUUCAAAAGGCAUUUUUCACUUACAUUUCUAUCAAAAAGUGAUGUGACUUGUAGCAGUUUUUAUUUUAUUUAUUUAUUUUUUUAAGGAAGGGGGCAAUAAAGAACUGGAGUGCUGAAACAUCUCACACAGCAAACGUUCUGCUAGUGGGUACUAUGAAUCUUUGAUAUCUGAAAGCCCACAUAUAUUUGGUUUGAAGCCAUUCUAGAGGUUUUUAAUUGAUUGACUGCUCUACCACCUAUGGAGUUUGUCUCAUGUACUUAAAGUACACCUCUGUGCACCAUCUUACUUCAGGUUUGUCUUGUGUCACUGACUACAUUCGUAAGCCCCUUGAGGGUAAGGAUUGUCUACUGUAGUAAUCCUUUUCUCCUCAGCGCCUAGCACAGUGCUUUGGCAUCUUUGCUGCUUGGUUAAUUGAUCUAGUCAGGUCCUUCUUUGUUUUGGCUUAAACAACAGAAAAUUAUUUCUCACAGUUCUGGAGGCUAGAAAUCCAAUAUCAAGGUACAGGUUUGGUUUCUUUUGAGGCCCCUCUGCUUGGCUUGUGGAUGGCCGUCCUCCUGUGUUAUCACGUGAUUCGGGUCUUUGUUUUUUUAACCAAGUUUUUCUAGUUAACUGCAUUGAGUGUUUUCAUCAGCUGUUACAGGUGAAAUACAAUUUGGUAUGAAAAAGGAAAGAGUUCCAGGUGUAUGUUUUAGUAUGCAAAUGCUUUUCUAUUUUUAUAUUUACAUGUCAAUGACUUGCUGUCUGAAUUCCUUAUUAUAUUUGAAAUUUAACUGUUGUAUGACCUAAGUAAGACUGUUUAGAGAUUUGAAAACCAAACUACCGGGAAUUGCACUAAUAUUCUGAAACCCAAGGUAAAGAUAUUAGUGAGGUUUUUUACUUUUUAACUGAAACAGAAUGUAUCUUUUUAAUUUAGGAAGCACCUUAUGAAUUGGAAACAACUUUUUUCUAAAAUGAUUAUAAUGGAACAUAAAAAUGUUCUCCCAGUGAUGCAUCCUUUGAUUGAAACCGCCAUGUAACUAACUACCGGGGUAUUAUAAGAUUCACUUAAUUCAAACAUAUAUUCAUUUAAUGCACUUUGCAAGUAUUCUUCUGGAAUAGCAUAUGACAAGAAACUGUAUUUGCCCACAUUUCCUUGGGGACAUACACCCAGGGGUACUAACUGAUGGCUAAAAAAGUGGCAUGCAAUUUUGAGAGAGAUUGUUGUUUCUCCAUGUAGACAAGGAGAGAUAUUUGUAGAAGUGAUGCAGCAUUUUACCAGAUUUAUCACUGAACAAUUUAGUCUAGCUGACUUGAUUUAUCUUUCUGUUGAAUUUAACUAGUGGAAUAACUUAUCAGUAUUGGACAGUUGUGUAAAAGUAGUGAAUUACUCAUUAGCUUGCUGGUAAGGAUGGUGCUGUGACAGUUCAAUUAAGGUUUCAUUAACAACUGUCUGCUGUAUUUUAUCUCAAAGUAAGAGUUCCAGUUUACCUGGUAAUGUGAUUGUGGGAUAACCUGAGAUAACAUUUGUUGCCACUGAUAGAAUGUUGUUUAUGGGUUAUCAAGAUAUCAUAUACAAUUUGACCUUCUUUUUGAGACAUUACAGCCUCCAAACACCCACAUGGACAUUUUCAUAAUGCAAAAACAAAACACAAAGCAACCCACAAAUAGUAACUUCAGUCAUUUGGUGAGUAAUAUAAAUCUACCUUUUUGUCUGCAGUUCACAUUUGCCAGAGGAAAAUGCUGUGGUUAAAGAUGUAACAACUUUGGGACAAAGAGUUUCAGGGGCUCAUAAUUUUGAGAGAUGGAGGAAGUUGACCGCAUGAGAGUGGUUUGAGGAUCGCUGUGCCUAGACCGUUUUUGACAUUGGCAACUUAACAUAUCAGAGAUGGAAUUAAUGGCACAUAUUGCCACCUUGGUAAAAGUUGAGAAUCUGUAGUACUGAGAAGUUUCUCCACUAUCAGCCGAGAUUAACAGCCACAGCUGGAUUCUUUGGGGGCUCUGCUUUGUGAAAAGAGCUUUGAAGAAGCAGAGCCUGCACCAUAAAAAGGAAACGGUUGCUCUUCUAGACAUAACAAAGCAUCCGUAUGAAACUAGAAAUGUGGAAAUCUGUAUUGUUAAUUUUAACUACAAACGAACUUACUUUUGGAAAUUACAGGUUCAUGAUCAUAAAGUAGAUAAAGAGUAGAGAAUAAAAGUAACAAUCUGAUGAUUCUGCACCCACUUCUUGGUGGUUGAAACUCCAUAGCCUAUAACGUUGCAAGUCAUUUUGUACUUAGACUCCUGAAAAGAUUAUCCAAAUUAUGUUCAAAAAACCACAGCACAAAAAAUAAACUUGUUUUAUUCUUGGGGAGAAAUUUCAUGUUAUACUGUCCAAUAUUAAUUUAGAAAAAAAGACAGUUUUUUUUUUUAAGGCAUUUCAGAAACAUUGCCCUUUCAAGCAAGUUAGAACAAUAUCCCUCAACAUUAAAUACCAUCUUUUUAGCCAUCAGUACCACUGGGCAUGUGUCAUAAAAGAGAAAUGGGGGCAGAUAUAGCUCCCUUUCAUAUGCUAUACCAGAACAAAAAUUUGUAAAAUGCAUAAGUGCAUUAACUGAAUAUGUUUGAAUUUAAAUUCUGGGUUUUUACCUUCAAAGCACAGGCAGCUGUAGAUACAAAAAGUCCUCUAAUGGAGUACUGGAAUGUUUCAUUGUCUUCACAACUUGGAGUGUCAGAGUUUUCUCUGCCUUCUAUAUUGUAAAACUGAGUGACUAUUCUUGGUCGUUUUUAUUAGAUUUAUUGAUGUCCAAGCAAUACAAGAAUUAACUGUUCAUAUACUGUAUGUUUCCUUAACAUGCUUAUUUGGUUUCUUUGAUGGAGAUUGUCAAGGCCAAAGAAACUUUUUCAUUUGUCAUCCAACCAAUAAAUGGACAGAAGCUGUUAGAAGCUCUUUAA